GUGUCAGGUGGGGGAGUGUUGGCCCAUACAAUCCUAGGGGUGGCUUGGAGUGAGUCUACAGGGCAGAUUCGCUAUCUUAUUCUUGACCCGCAUUACACCGGAUCAGAAGACCUUCAGGUCAUCACUGAAAAGGGCUGGUGUGGCUGGAAAGGAGCAGAUUUUUGGGAUCAAACUGCAUAUUAUAAUCUCUGUCUGCCACAGAGGCCCAGAGUCAUCUGAACUCAGGCUUUUAAUGUCAAACGACAUUGUGCCAGCUUGUUUAAAUGGAUUUAUUAGUAAUUGAAAUAACAUUUAAUCCAAACUAUUAUCUGUUAAAGUGUUUGAUAACACUUUGAUCAGUGUUAAAUAAAAAAAAAAGCUGAUUUGCUUUGUU